AGCUUUGCACAGUGGCAGUAUCAUAGUCAAUGAGGUUUAUCCAAGGCGCGAUUAUUGCUAAUUGAAAACUUAAAAAUCAUUUCU
rnacentral:snRNA from 1 species